UGGGGAAUUUUGGACAAUGGGCGAAAGCCUGAUCCAGCAAUGCCGCGUGUGUGAAGAAGGCCUUCGGGUUGUAAAGCACUUUUGUCCGGAAAGAAAUCCUUGGUUCUAAUAUAGCCGGGGGAUGACGGUACCGGAAGAAUAAGCACCGGCUAACUACGUGCCAGCAGCCGCGGUAAUACGUAGGGUGCGAGCGUUAAUCGGAAUUACCGGGCGUAAAGCGUGCGCAGGCGGUUUGCUAAGACCGAUGUGAAAUCCCCGGGCUCAACCUGGGAACUGCAUUGGUGACUGGCAGGCUAGAGUAUGGCAGAGGGGGGUAGAAUUCCACGUGUAGCAGUGAAAGUGCGUAGAGAUGUGGAGGAAUACCGAUGGCGAAGGCAGCCCCCUGGGCCAAUACUGACGCUCAUGCACGAAAGCGUGGGGAGCAAACAGGAUUAGAUACCCUGGUAGUCCACGCCCUAAACGAUGUCAACUAGUUGUUGGGGAUUCAUUUCCUUAGUAACGUAGCUAACGCGUGAAGUUGACCGCCUGGGGAGUACGGUCGCAAGAUUAAAACUCAAAUGAAUUGACGGGGUCAUAGCUGUUUCCU
rnacentral:rRNA from 1 species